UAGAGUUUGAUCCUGGCUCAGAAUCAACGCUGGCGGCGUGCCUAACACAUGCAAGUCGAACGAGAAAGUGGAGCAAUCCAUGAGUAAAGUGGCGACCGGGUGAGUAACACGUGACUAACCUACCUCCGAGUGGGGAAUAACUCCGGGAAACCGGGGCUAAUACCGCAUAACAUCGCAAGAUCAAAGCCGCAAGGCGCUUGAGGAGGGGGUCGCGGCUGAUUAGCUAGUUGGUAGGGUAACGGCCUACCAAGGCAAAGAUCGGUAGCCGGCCUGAGAGGGCGCACGGCCACACUGGAACUGAAACACGGUCCAGACUCCUACGGGAGGCAGCAGUGGGGAAUUUUGCGCAAUGGGGGAAACCCUGACGCAGCAACGCCGCGUGGAGGAUGAAGUCCCUUGGGACGUAAACUCCUUUCGACCGGGACGAUACUGACGGUACCGGAAGAAGAAGCACCGGCUAACUCUGUGCCAGCAGCCGCGGUAAUACAGAGGGUGCGAGCGUUGUUCGGAAUUAUUGGGCGUAAAGGGCGCGUANGCGGUGCGGUAAGUCACCUGUGAAAUCUCCUGGCUCAACUGGGAGCUUGCAGGCGAAACUGCCGUGCUGGAAUGGUGGAAAGGUGCGUGGAAUUCCCGGUGUAGCGGUGAAAUGCGUAGAUAUCGGGGAGGAACCCCUGUGGCGAAAACGGCGCACUGGAAAACAACUGAACCUGAGGCCCCAAAGCUAGGGGACCAACCGGAUUAAAUUCCCUGGUAGUCCUAACCCUAACCAAUGAUGCUUGGGUGUAUGGGUACCAAUCCCAUCGGGCCCAACUAACCCU
rnacentral:rRNA from 1 species